rnacentral:rRNA from 1 species
UACAGAGGUCUCAAGCGUUGUUCGGAUUCAUUGGGCGUAAAGGGUGCGUAGGCGGCGCGGUAGGUCGGGUGUGAAAUCUCGGGGCUUAACUCCGAAACUGCAUUCGAUACUGCCGUGCUUGAGGACUGGAGAGGAGACUGGAAUUUACGGUGUAGCGGUGAAAUGCGUAGAUAUCGUAAGGAAGACCAGUGGCGAAGGCGGGUCUCUGGACAGUUCCUGACGCUGAGGCACGAAGGUCAGGGGAGCAAACGGG